UCGGACGUGGUGCACGGUGCACCGCGAGCACACCUGCGAAGGAAACCGGAAUAGAAGUAACUCGCAGGUCGGGGUUCGACUCCCCGCGUCCGAA